rnacentral:rRNA from 1 species
AGUCAUAUGCUUGUCUCAAAGAUUAAGCCAUGCAUGUCUCAGUACAAGCCAAAUUAAGGUGAAACCGCGAAAGGCUCAUUAAAUCAGUUAUGGUUCCUUAGAUCGUACCCACAUUUACUUGGAUAACUGUGGUAAUUCUAGAGCUAAUACAUGCCAACAGAACUCCGACCGGAGACGGAAGGAGUGCCUUUAUUAGAUCAAAACCAAUCGGUGGCGCGGCCUCGGUCGUGCCAUCGUACAACAUGGUGAAUCUGAAUAACGUUUGCUGAUCGCACGGUCUCGCACCGGCGACGCAUCUUUCAAAUGUCUGCCUUAUCAACUGUCGAUGGUAGGUUCUGCGCCUACCAUGGUUGUAACGGGUAACGGGGAAUCAGGGUUCGAUUCCGGAGAGGGAGCCUGAGAAACGGCUACCACAUCCAAGGAAGGCAGCAGGCGCGCAAAUUACCCACUCCCGGCACGGGGAGGUAGUGACGAAAAAUAACGAUACGGGACUCAUCCGAGGCCCCGUAAUCGGAAUGAGCACACUUUAAAUCCUUUCACGAGGAUCAAUCGGAGGGCAAGUCAGGUGCCAGCAGCCGCGGUAAUUCCUGCUCCGAUAGCGUAU